CGCUCGUAUGGAGGACGAUCUCGACCGCAUCGCCACCGGUGACGCGGAGGCGGUGCCGUGGCUGCGCCGCUUCUACUUCGGCGCGGACGGC
rnacentral:tRNA from 1 species